UGCGCAGACGGUUUGUUAAGUCACUUGUUAAAUUCUUCGGCCUAACUGAAGGUAUGCAGGUGAUACUGGCGAACUAGAGGAUGGAAGAGAGAAGUGGAAUUCUCGGAGUAGCGGUAAAAUAGCGUAGAUCUCGAGAGGAACACCAAUGGCGAAGGCAGCUUCUUGGUCCAUAUCUGACGUUCAUGCACGAAAGCUGGGGAGCAAACA
rnacentral:rRNA from 1 species